rnacentral:tRNA from 1 species
AGUCUUAUAGUCAAUAAUGAUAUAAAAUUGCAAAUUUUAAGGAAUAUUUUAUAUAUAUUAAGGCUU